rnacentral:rRNA from 1 species
AACGAACGCUGGCGGCGUGCUUAACACAUGCAAGUCGAACGCGAAAAGGGGGGCAACCCCCUGAGUAGAGUGGCGCACGGGUGAGUAACGCGUGGGUAACCUACCUCCGGGCGGGGGAUAACUAUCCGAAAGGGUGGCUAAUACCGCAUGAGACCACGAAGCCUCCGGGCUUUGGGGCCAAAGAUCCCGCAAGGGGUCACCUGGAGACGGGCCCGCGUACGAUUAGCUAGUUGGUAGGGUAACGGCCUACCAAGGCUGCGAUCGUUAGCUGGUCUGAGAAGAUGAUCAGCCACACUGGAACUGGAACACGGUCCAGACUCCUACGGGAGGCAGCAGUGAGGAAUAUUGCGCAAUGGGGGAAACCCUGACGCAGCAACGCCGCGUGGGUGAAGAAGGCCUUCGGGUCGUAAAGCCCUUUCGGACGGGACGAACGUCGGCCGGGGACAAUCCGGUCGAUCUGACGGUACCGUAAGAAGAAGCACCGGCUAACUCCGUGCCAGCAGCCGCCGUAAGAC